rnacentral:lncRNA from 10 species
GGCUGAGGGCUCUGCCAAUCCUUUUUGUGGUUGGUUGUGUUGAGCAGCCUCCCGUGAGCCAUGGCCGACCUUGAGCUGGCAGUGGUUUCUGGGAUCUUCAGGAUUUUCAGCCCUCGGGGCUGAAGCCAUAUGAAGUUCUGUCUUCAUCCCCUUGUCUCCCUGGAACCUUUGAGGCACCCCCUAAGAGAGGCCCUGGCCCAGCAUCUGUCUUACAGCUGGUGGCCCUCAGGAUAACACCUACAUUGAUGGAGCACCUGUGCCAGGCACCAUGCUGAGUGCAUCAUCUCAUCGAGACCUCAUGACAAUCUCCAAAACCUCCCAAGCUGCUGGAAUUAUGGGCAUGAGCGACCGCACCCCCGGCCAGAUGCUGUCUUUCUAACCAGCUCCCAGGUGAUGCUCAUGCUGCUGGACCAGGGACAGGUAAGGAGCAGUGCCCGCGGUGUGUGAAAGCCGAAGGGGAGGAGUGACACGUCUUCGGCCUCAGGCUUUUCACGAUAGUUCCCUGUGGCCCCACCUUCUUGGACUCCUCUGAUCAGGCCCUGACCUCCUCGGGGAGCUGCUGCAGGACCAUGGGAGUCUUCUGACUGUGGGAGAAGCUGGGAACUUGGCACCUCCAUUCCUCCUCAGGGACAAAAGAACGGCCAUCUCCAUCCCUCACUUAGCGGUCAGAAUGACAGGGUGACCCUUGCUAUGUACUACAAAAACACAGGCCUUGCUUUUCUUAGGCAUUCCAAGGAGGUCUAUGUGGCCAGGCCAUGGGUUAAGAU